rnacentral:rRNA from 1 species
AAACUUUCAACAACGGAUCUCUUGGUUCUGGCAUCGAUGAAGAACGCAGCGAAAUGCGAUAAGUAGUGUGAAUUGCAGAAUUCAGUGAAUCAUCGAAUCUUUGAACGCACAUUGCGCCCCUUGGUAUCCCGAGGGGCAUGCCUGUUCGAGCGUCAUUA